rnacentral:rRNA from 1 species
UACGGAGGAUGCAAGCGUUAUCCGGAAUGAUUGGGCGUAAAGCGUCCGCAGGUGGCUGUGUAAGUCUGCUGUUAAAUAGUGAGGCUCAACCUCAUAAAGGCAGUGGAAACUACACGGCUAGAGUGCGUUCGGGGCAGAGGGAAUUCCUGGUGUAGCGGUGAAAUGCGUAGAGAUCAGGAAGAACACCGGUGGCGAAAGCGCUCUGCUAGGCCGUAACUGACACUGAGGGACGAAAGCUAGGGGAGCGAACAGG